rnacentral:lncRNA from 1 species
UCACGUCCUCCUCGUUCCAUCCACUCCCUCGCCUCCUUCUUCCUCCCCAUCCGGCGGCGCCUCCUUCCUCUUUCCCACGGCCUCCCGCAUCGUGCUGAGCCUCGCCGGCCGCUUCCCCCAGCCGGUGUCCCUCUCCAGAUGCAUCCUCCCCGAGAUUCGGGUACGGAGAGAGUCACGGUGGCAGGGGCAGAUGCGUGAGGACGAGGAGGCCAUGGUCAUGGUGGCGCGACGGAGGUCGUGGCUCGCCCCCCGCCGCCUCUCUCGUGCCCCCCUUUUCCCUACCCCCUCCCCGGCGUCCUUGCCUCUGCCAUGGCCUCCGCCCGAUUCCAGAUCGGCCGCAGGUCGAGGAGCGGUUGCUGUAGUGAGGGCAGCAGCGUGCAGAGGGGGAGAGGUCAAGGACGGUUGCCAGUUCAUGGAGGAGAGAUGCAACACAACGGUGAGCUCUUUCUUCCUCCUUUCCUCAUCUUCCCAUGGUGAACUGAGCUCAUACUUCCUUUUCUUUCUUCUAAUUAUGCACAUAGUGUUUGGGUUGCAGUUGAUUCCUACGCUGAGUUUUAGUGGUGGCAUGGUGUCCAUCUCCAGGCCGGUUGCAACCUUCUGCCCCCAUCAUUCCCUGUAUUUUUUUCAUAAUUUACACACUAAGUUGUAGAUUGGUCGGAUCUAUUGGCAUUAGGCAGCACAAGAAUAACAAUAGUUGUCAGCUUUUUCAUGUGCAGGUUCAGCAGCGGCAAUCCUCGAGAUAGAUUUAGGCCGAUCUGAAUAAACAGAGAUGAGCAGCAGCAGGGUUGGGUGCUCCAUUUGUAUGCGUUGCAUUGGUUAAUUUUGUUGUGCUCAUGUUUCUGUUUCAUGCUAUUGUCCACGAGUUCUACUUGUUGCUUAUUUCCAAUUAAGUACUUAGUUCCAUAAUGCUCUGGCCAACCUAUUUUAUUGCAACAUUUGUGGUUCUUUUGUGCCAGAUUAGGUGUUUGUAUUUUUUUCCGAGUUCUUAUGGCAUACUUUCUUAAGAUUUUUAUUUGUGACACUUGCAGAAGUGCGGUUCAACAUUAGUUAGUAAUGCCCAGUAAGUUACUAAGGUGUUAUGUAACUGCAAUCCUUGAAAGCAGAGAUGAGAUAUCUAUCCAAUUCUACAUAUAUGGUUUAAAGUUCAUUGCGACAACCUUGCUCAUAUGUUUCGAUUACUACAGAGCAAGGUUGGUUUAAAGUUCAUUCUAAAAUUCUUCUCUUUGUUGUAUCAUUUCUACAUAUAUCCUUUAAAGUUAGAGAAAUUUAGAUGUGAAAUGCCCAGAGUAUUAUGUCACACUUUUAUCAGAUUGCCAAGUUGGUAGCCGCUUUUGCGAUUAUAAAUGUUUUUUUUCAGAGCGGCUGCUACUUCAGUGCCCAACUUUGAAGAAUGUACAUGCAUUUGGAUGCCAAGAUAUGUCGAUUGGUGCAAUUAGAACCCCAGGUAUUACUUUGUUAACACAUUUCUCAUCCCAAAUAUUUUUUUCAGUUUGAGCUUUCUCCCAUAACUCGUACGGAUUGAUGAGAGGUUUGAUACAAAUAUCCAUAUAAUUAUGCUUUCUUCUAUACGCUAUGCAGGUGGCUAUGUUGUUGAUGGGGAUUAAUUAUUGUACUACCCGCAAGAAAAUAUUGUACUGACAUAUCUGAGAAUUUUAAUGAUCUAUCUGCAACCAGGUAGCUAUGCUCACAUCAAAUUAUUAUUUUUAUGUGCUUCAACUCAUUUAACUGCAUGUUAAUUUGCUCAUAAACUUCCUGAUGCAGCUACAAAUUUCUUUGUAAAACUUAUUGAUUAUUCUGAAAUCUUAUUCCUAGGUAUUAAGCUCCAGGCUGAGUGCAGGUUUCUUUUUGCAAAAAACAAAACACGUAAUGCUACAGCCUCAGCAGCGUAUUGUCCAUUCAAAUAUCUGGAAUUGGCAUGCAUAUGUUGCUUGUUUUUUCAUACAUUUUUAGUUUUUGUGUCUCUUUGGUAUGAAUUAGCAGAAUAUUUUUUCAUGGUGUGAAGUAUUAGCGACAUUUACUAUUUUGGAUGUUGAGAUGCCAGCUUGGCUUCCCUUUUUUGUUUUAGAGAUGAGUUUGGCUUCUCUUUUAGGAUGCAUUACGGUACUACAUGAUUGUUGAGUUCCUAUUGUUUGCUUUUCUCUGUUCGUCAAUUUUUUUGAUUGCUUCUGGAGAAACCAUAUUACUACGCAGUUGCUGCCAUUGUAAGAGAUGUCAUUCUUUUUAGGUGGUAAGGUGAUAUGGUCAGUUUAUGUUAUAGGGUGUGAUGUGAAGCUCAUGCUGGUUCAUUACAAGAGGUUAUGUACCACUCAUGUCUUAUUUUCUGCAGGUACCUGCCAUUCUCUGAUCCAUAUUCUAGAUGCUUCCAUUGCUACAACAUUCUCAAGCUAUAUUGCAAAGUUUGUUGCUUAUAUAGUUAUUACUAUUGGUCUAUAUGGUGUCGGCUGGAUGUGUGCCACCUGAAAGAUCUCAUUGUUUGUAACCAGGCAAUACAAACAUUCCAUUACUACCAGACAUGUCUUUCUUUGGUAAAUUUCAUUCUUUUUUUGCUGCAUUGUACCUUCCAUAGGUUUGUUUCCAGUGGUCCUAUACCUUUCAUUUUUUUUCGAUCUCUGUUCUUACAUUUAUAUUCUAUUCAUCUCCGGUUCUGAUAUGUCAUAGGGUUGAUUGAGUAUUGUUUCCUUUAUGUUGGAACAAUGGUCCAGGGUAGUGUCUACAAGGGGGUGCUCUGUGCUCUUGGCGUUAUCUGUUAGCCUUUUCUGUAUAUAGUCUUCUAGUUAUGUUCUUUAGAAUAUCAUCCAAAUCAUGACUGCUAUGACCCAAACUAUAAGAGCUAAAAAAACUGCUGCUCGAUGCGAUUUUAGAUUUAUUUGAACAAAAGACUACUAGGUGAUCUUCCAGAUGUAUUUGGCAAGUAGCGGCUCUGAAAUUGCUGGCUAUAGCAUCGCAUAUCUUUUUUCUUGAUUGUCACAACAACAAUUUUUCAUGUAUCUGAAUGGUGAUCUCGCCAUUCACCAAGGAGGGAUAAAAGUUUGGUAUCCACUGGCAUUUUUUUUGUUCAUCAAUCUUGCCGAGAUAUCAAACAUGUGCUUACUUGAUUACGAGGAUGACUUUCUUAUGUGCUUGAUAGAUAGAAUGCCUUAAUAGAUAGCAUGCCUCUGAUUUUCUUAUUUGAGCAUGUUUUUAUACAGAGAAUUUGAUUUGCUUGUUUUCCACUUCUUUAGGAAUAUGAGGAGGGAGCUCUGUUGUUGUCAGUGGCUACAUCAUUUCGACCAGUGAUAUGGUUAAUCUUUGCGAUGUGGACCAAUGGCAUGAUCUGUACCUAAGGUUGGAGUUGCUGAAUUAGGUAAGAAAAAAAAUGAGAACCAUUUGCUUGUUUUUCACUUCUUUAGGGAUAUGAGGAGAGAGUCUUACAGCUCUAUUGUUAAUCAGCUACUUCCUUUUGUGGAUGAUUAAUUAUUUGCAUGAAGGUUCAGAGAAUGGCCUCUAUUGCCUUACAGUCCAACUGGUAAAUAGAACAGUGCCUUACAUGAGCACUGAUGGUGAUCUUAUAUACUUAUACGUAUAUGUUUCUGUAUUGCAGAACACGUGAGAAAUUACUGAUGCGCAUGGAUGACAGCUUUCCCACGACGAAGCAAAAUUGCAGGUGAUUUUCUCUACUUUCUAAUAUUAUCCAUAUAUCACAGGGGAAUGAUGGGUAGUUUUAAAAGGGAUUAGUGGUUCAUCGCACUUUUUCUAGCUUCUUUUGGCCUCCAAAUGAUAUACAAGGCAGUCAAGUUCCAUCCUCUAAUUUCUUGUGAUUUUUAUAGGACCUAUUAGGAUGCAUACCUGAAGGAGUGCAUCUACUGGCCCAGCUGAAAAUCGAUCUCUAUUUGGUUUAUGUAUUCUAUUUUUGCUCUCGGUUUUGUCUACCGCUCGUCCUUGGUAUGCUCAUCCAUCUUGCCUGCUUUGCUUGCCUCCUUCUCCUCUCCAAUUCAGGUAGAUGGAUUGUUCUUUUAUUUUUCUGUGGAACGACUCUUAUUUUACUUGUCUGUGCUCUGUAUCAUAGCAUGCUGGUGCACUGACCACUUCAUCUCCAUUUAUUGAGCAGGUUCUGCGAUCCCUUGUGUUGCUGCGUCCCGAUCUCCAGCUUUGUUGCAUCUCUGUUCUGCUCCUCGAGGUUUGCUUGUUUUCUGUCUAGCUAAAAUGCAUAUUUCCUUCCUGCACGUGUUGUCAUGGUGUUUAAAUUGGAUUUGGUGGUGGAAGGGGGGGGGGGUCUGGAACUAAAACGAAAUUUAGUUUGAUGUUAUCAUAUAUCCCGGGUCGUGUGUAUGUAUCUCGUUGGAUAAAGGAAGAUUGAGUGAAUGUAGGUGUAGCUUCAUGAGCGCCGGUCAAGGUUCUUAGCGAGUUCUUUGUAGGCAUAAUUUUCUUCUAUUCAACAAUGCAUUUUAAAUAGUGAAACUGGUCCUAAUUAUUCCAUGCUGGAGUUAAAAUUGUGCAUCUUGUUAUGUAUUUUGGGAAGAGCAGCAGUUCAUAAUUUUCUCUAUAAUAUUCAUGUCAUUCAGUCAAGAUAGUGUGCUGUUUAUUUUUCUUUCUUCAGGUAGGAAACACAUGUUGAUUUCUUGACCACCUCAAGUGAUCCAGUGAUCCAAUGUUAGAUGAAGUGUUUUAAUAUUUUUUGCUCAUGCUUAUUCCCGGAAACACAGCUCAAUGGAAUAAGCUCUGUAACUUUUAUUUAGCAUAUCACACAUACAAGUAUACUGAUAUUAUAUUAGGACUUAAUGACGGAUAACAUAACACUUAUUUUUAACUGCAUACAUAGCAUGGUCUUGUCAUAUCUUCUUAUGGUGUAUCUAUUAUUCAUGUACAUACUCUGUGUGGUAUUCACAUGGUUGUGUCGCCAUUGACAUCCUUGUUGUAGGUGCUCAACAGGAGAAGCACUCAAUAGGAGAAGCAGGAGCAGCGGAGCGUUCGCCUCGUUGCAGGUCGACUUCUGGUCCCUUCUCUUCUUACUGAUUUAUUCCUCCCCUUCUCUUCCAGUCCCCUACUCACAGAGCUUCUCAUUUUAUUUUUGUAGAUUUGGUUUAUCUAUGUCUGCAGGUUGUUUGAUAAAAAUCCAAAAAGGCUGACAUGGUAGAAUUAAUCUAUGUAAAUCGUGUGAUUUUAUUUUUCUAUAAUUUAGUUCCAGUCAAAGAUAACAAGUUAGUAGUCCCAUUAUUUUUUUGCAAUUUAGGUACUGAAGGAGAUCAGAAUGCUUUUAUUUCUAUUUACAUCAUGGGCUUUAUUAUAGAACAACCACAGUGGAGAAAAUUAUCUCAUAUUUAUUAAUAUCUUUUAUUGUUUGUGUUUAGUGAAUAAAAACUGCAGUAGAUU